rnacentral:rRNA from 1 species
CCUACGGGAGGCAGCAGUGGGGGAUAUUGCACAAUGGGGGAAACCCUGAUGCAGCGACGCCGCGUGGGCGAAGAAGUAUUUCGGUAUGUAAAGCCCUAUCAGCAGGGAAGAAGAAAUGACGGUACCUGAGUAAGAAGCACCGGCUAAAUACGUGCCAGCAGCCGCGGUAAUACGUAUGGUGCAAGCGUUAUCCGGAUUUACUGGGUGUAAAGGGAGCGCAGGCGGCACGGCAAGCCUGAUGUGAAAGCCCGGGGCCCAACCCCGGGACUGCUCUUGGAACUGCGUGGCUGGAGUGCAGGAGGGGCAGGCGGAAUUCCGGGUGUAGCGGUGAAAUGCGUAGAUAUCAGGAGGAACACCGGUGGCGAAGGCGGCCUGCUGGACUGCAACUGACGUUGAGGCCCGAAAGCGUGGGGAGCAAACAGGAUUAGAUACCCUUGUAGUC